GUCUGUGUGAAGUUAUACAGAGUCUAACCUGCCCAAUGAAUUUUAUUUAAAAGGCCGCAGUAAUUUGACUGUGCAAAGGUAGCAUAAUAAUUAGUUUUUUAAUUGAAGGCUUGUAUGAAUGGUUGGACAAAGAAAAAUCUGUCUUUUAUAUUAUUUUUGAAUUUUACAUUUAAGUGAAAAGGCUUAAAUAAACUUAAGGGACGAUAAGACCCUAUAAAUCUUUACACUGUAUUUAAUUUUUUUAUAAUUUUGUAAAAUUUAAUAGUGUUAUGUUGGGGCAACAAAAAUAUAAAAAAAAACUGUUUUAUGAAUUAUACAUUUAUAUGUGAAUAAAACUAAAAGAUCCUUAAAAAAGAUUAAAAGUUUAAGUUACUUUAGGGAUAACAGCGUUAUUUUUUUUGAGAGUUCUUAUUGAAAAAAAAGUUUGCGACCUCGAUGUUGAAUUAAAAUUUCUCUAUGGUGCAGCAGUUGUAAGAGAGAGUCUGUUCGACUUUUAAAAUUUU
rnacentral:rRNA from 1 species